rnacentral:rRNA from 1 species
GACGAACGCUGGCGGCGCGCUUAACACAUGCAAGUCGAGCGAGAACCAGGACUUCGGUCCUGGGGACAGCGGCGAACGGGUGAGUAACACGUGGAUAGCCUGCCCUCGGCACCGGUAUAGCCCGAGGAAACUCGGAUUAAUACCGGAUAGCCCUUCCGACUCUCGAGUCGGUCCGAAAAGGUAGCUUCGGCCUCUGGCCGAGGAUGGGUCCGCGGCGGAUUAGCUUGUUGGUGGGGUAACGGCCUACCAAGGCAUCGAUCCGUAGCUGGUCUGAGAGGACGAUCAGCCACACUGGGACUGAGACACGGCCCAGACUCCUACGGGAGGCAGCAGUGGGGAAUCUUGCGCAAUGGGCGAAAGCCUGACGCAGCGACGCCGCGUGAGGGAA